GCGAGGCAGGUUCAUAUCCAGACAAGAAGCCACGAUGGAAUCUGGAUUUCCCCUCUAUCCGAUGGAAUCUGGAUUUGGUGUCAGUCCGUUUUCCUGUGAUUUUGGGAUACCAGCCCCAUUCCCCUUCAUGGAGGGUAUGCGUUGCUGUUGGUCGGCACACUGGAAUGGAACAGAUAUAGACAGAACCUUCAAGUUCAUAAGCAAGGAGUUGCGCUUGACCGAUCUAUGGAUCUCUCUAGAUGCACUGACUAAGGUGAAUUGAAAGCGGAACUAGACAUGAUGUUUGAAUUCGAGGGUGAAUUAGUAUCUGCAAACCAAAACUGGCAGAUUGUUUAUACCGACAACGAGGGUGAUAUGAUGCUUGUGGGAGAUGACCCGUGGGAGAAUUUGAUGUGGUUGUGUAUGAUGUACUUUAUAUUUUGGCAUACUAUGCACAAAAACAAAUGCCUUCUAUGAC